GGAAGUAAAAGUCGUAACAAGGUUUCCGUAGGUGAACCUGCGGAAGGAUCAUUAUCGAGUUUUGAAAUGGGUUGUAGCUGGCUUCUCCGGAGGCAUGUGCACGCCCUGCUCAUCCACUCUACACCUGUGCACUUACUGUGGGUAUCGGGAGGUGUCGCGUCGUUUACGGCGAGGCGUUAACCGUGCCUACGUUUUACUACAAACGAUUCAGUAUCAGAAUGUGUAUUGCGAUGUAACGCAUCUAUAUACAACUUUCAGCAACGGAUCUCUUGGCUCUCGCAUCGAUGAAGAACGCAGCGAAAUGCGAUAAGUAAUGUGAAUUGCAGAAUUCAGUGAAUCAUCGAAUCUUUGAACGCACCUUGCGCUCCUUGGUAUUCCGAGGAGCAUGCCUGUUUGAGUGUCAUGAAAUUCUCAAACCCAUAAGUCUUUGCGGGCUUACGGGCUUUGGACUUGGAGGCUUGUCGGCGACCGUGAGGUCACAUCGACUCCUCUCAAAUGCAUUAGCUUGAUUCCUUGCGGAUCGGCUCUCGGUGUGAUAAUUGUCUACGCCGUGACCGUGAAGCGUUUUGGCAAGCUUCUAACCGUCUCUAACGAGACAGCUUACUUUGACCUCUGACCUCAAAUCAGGUAGGACUACCCGCUGAACUUAAGCAUAUCAAUAAGCGGAGGA
rnacentral:rRNA from 1 species